rnacentral:tmRNA from 1 species
GGGGGCGACUUGGCUUCGACGGCGGUCGCGAACUCCGACGUGCAUGCCGAGAGGGUAGUGACUCUCGUUAAUCAAUCGCUGCAACCUUUUAUAGUUGCCAACGACGAAAACUACGCGCUAGCGGCGUAAGCCGCUUGUCUCGGGAAGACGGCGCCCGCAACGGCGACCCGAGGGCAAAGGCUUGCGGGAUAGCGCCGCCGAGUGCCUCCGGCGGCGGCGCGAAACUUGAGGAGGCUCGCCCAACGGCACCCCGACCGCCGGGUCGCCAACGGGCCAAAGCAAUAGGCGGCUCUAAGCAUGUAGAGCGAAAGACGGAGCACCGACGGACGCGGGUUCGACUCCCGCCGCCUCCACCA